rnacentral:rRNA from 1 species
UGCCACAGCCAUGUCAUCCUGCAGGCCAAGACCGGUGAAGCUAAGCAGGGCUGCGCCUGUUCAGUACCUGGAUGGGAGACCACAAGGGAAAACUGGGAUGCUGUUGGAA